rnacentral:rRNA from 1 species
CGGCGUGCUUAACACAUGCAAGUCGAACGGAGUGCCCAUGACAGAGGUUUCGGCCAAUAGAUUGGGUUACUUAGUGGCGGACUGGUGAGUAACGCGUGAGGAACCUGCCUUUCAGAUGGGGACAACAGCUGGAAACGGCUGCUAAUACCGAAUACGUCUUUUUGUCGCAUGGCAGAGGGAAGAAAGGGAGGCUCUUCGGAGCUUUCGCUGAAGGAGGGGCUUGCGUCUGAUUAGCUAGUUGGAGGGGUAACGGCCCACCAAGGCGACGAUCAGUAGCCGGUCUGAGAGGAUGAACGGCCACAUUGGGACUGAGACACGGCCCAGACUCCUACGGGAGGCAGCAGUGGGGAAUUUUGGACAAUGGGGGCAACCCUGAUCCAGCCAUGCCGCGUGCAGGAUGAAGGUCUUCGGAUUGUAAACUGCUUUUGUCAGGGACGAAAAGGACUGUGCCAAUACCACAGUCUGCUGACGGUACCUGAAGAAUAAGCACCGGCUAACUACGUG